rnacentral:rRNA from 1 species
GUGAGGAAUUUUCCGCAAUGGGCGAAAGCCUGACGGAGCAAUGCCGCGUGAAGGAUGAAGGCCUAUGGGUUGUAAACUUCUUUUCUCAGAAAAGAAUUAUGACGGUAUCUGAGGAAUAAGCAUCGGCUAACUCUGUGCCAGCAGCCGCGGUAAGACAGAGGAUGCAAGCGUUAUCCGGAAUGAUUGGGCGUAAAGCGUCUGUAGGUUGUUUAAAAAGUAUUCUGUCAAAGAUUAGGGCUUAACCCUAGAUAGGCAGAAUAAACUUUUAAGCUAGAGUUUGGUAGAGGCAGAGGGAAUUCCCGGUGGAGCGGUGAAAUGCGUAGAUAUCGGGAGGAGCACCAAAGGCGAAGGCACUCUGCUGGGCCAAUACUAACACUGAGAGACGAAAGCGAGGGGAGCAAAUGGGAUUAGAAACCCUUGUAGUCC